rnacentral:rRNA from 1 species
UACACUCCUGCGGGAGGCAGCAGUGGGGAAUAUUGGACAAUGGGCGAAAGCCUGAUCCAGCAAUGCCGCGUGAGUGAUGAAGGCCUUAGGGUUGUAAAGCUCUUUUACCCGGGAUGAUAAUGACAGUACCGGGAGAAUAAGCCCCGGCUAACUCCGUGCCAGCAGCCGCGGUAAUACGGAGGGGGCUAGCGUUGUUCGGAAUUACUGGGCGUAAAGCGCGCGUAGGCGGCUUUGUAAGGUAGAGGUGAAAGCCCGGAGCUCAACUUCGGGAUUGCCUUUAAGACUGCAUCGCUAGAAUCGUGGAGAGGUGAGUGGAAUUCCGAGUGUAGAGGUGAAAUUCGUAGAUAUUCGGAAGAACACCAGUGGCGAAGGCGACUCACUGGACACGUAUUGACGCUGAGGUGCGAAAGCGUGGGGAGCAAACAGGAUUAGAAACCCCUGUAGUCCCAUGA